AACUUUGGUCAAUGAAGAUCUCCUUUCUUAUUUGUCUUAAUUUGGAGUUCGAAAGAAAAUGUUAAUUCAUUCAUUAUACAUAUUUCAAACUCAUUUUGCAUGAGCUUAGUAAAAUCUCCAUAUAAAUCUUCAUUAGUAGAACCAAAAAUGAUGCCAUCAAUGUAUGCUUUGAGCAAGCAAGAUAUCACAAAUUCUUCUUUUUAAUGUAUAGGUUUAUCAUUAUUACUUUUUAUCAAAAGGUUACUCAAGCUUUUAUAUAUCAUGCUUUUGAUGCUUGUUCUAAAUCACAUAUUGCUUUAUCAUAUUUGUAAUGAGUGUUAUCAAAUAAGGUGGUUAUUUUACAUAGAUCUUUUUGAAGGAAAAAUCUCCCGAGUUGUCCGAUAAAAUCGAACGCCAGGCAUGAAAAAUCAGUUUUAAAUUUUUUUAUUUUAUUUAUAAC
rnacentral:lncRNA from 1 species